UAGCUUUGUGUAAUGGAUUAAAUGAAAUGUACAUUUCUCUUAUGUUAUUUUCUGUAGUUUCUACAAUGAAGGUUAAUUUAAAAUAUUUUUUAAAGGUUACUUGGAAUUGCGUCUGAAGCAACAUGAGCAUCUUCUCCCCUGUGGCUCCUUUAACUCCAGCGAGGACGCCGAAGAGGCGGGGGUGCCAGACACGGCUGACGUCACGGGCAGCCCGAAAUGACAAAGCGGACGGGCCAAUCCCAAGUUCGGAUUCUGCGAGAAGCCAUCCGAUUGGACACGAGUGCGGGCGCCCUUGCCCAAUGGUGGAAGAGGGGCAGGAGCCCGGCGGCCGCGUGGGUUUUAAAUCCAUGUGGCGGCGAGAGGGCGGCGGUGGCUGCGCCUCGUGGGCUUGAGUUCGCUCCUUGGCUGGGGAGGCGUGCGUGGGGGCCGUCGUCCGCGCCGCUUACGGUCCUGGGCCGGUGGCUCCGCCUCGCCGCGCCUAUUUGCGUCAGCAGGUGCCUUAUAGGGUCUUGCGGGGACCUAAUGGCGUUCAUGCAUUCGACAGAGCUUUACUGAGACUCUGCUCUGUGCCAGGCAGGGCCUGGUGGGAUCAGGGAGAACCCACGAAAGACACGCUGUGAAUGCCACGUUUCUGUCAUCUGAGUGUCUUUGUCCGCUCCCAUGAAGGAAGUCCCCAGCUGGGGCCAGGCAUCGGAAGACCAGCCUCCUCUGGGCUGGCACGAAGGCAGCCCCCGGCUGGAAGACCAGAAAAGUCUGGUGGUGGAUGGCAACUCGCGGUCAGUCAAACUGGAUGCACAUCCCAGCUUCACUGCUUACCAGCCGAGUGAUGCUGGGCAAGUUAUGAAUACCUGCUUCCGCUUCCUCUGCAAAAUGGGGAACAGUCCUUCAGAAACUGAGGACCAAGCUGAACAUCACAGCUGCCCAUUCAAGACCUGCUACAUAAUUUGUGGAGCCCAGUGCAAACAAAAAUUGUAGAGCUCCUUGUUCAAAACUUAAGAAUGUCAAGAUGAUGACGGCAGAGCUCAGAGCCCUUCUGAGGGUGAAGUGCCAUGUGACUGCACAUGGCCCACCCCGUGCUCCCACUGGUGGUCCAUGGUCCUGUGUUGUCCUACGGAACCUACGAGGCUGGAUGGGGUCUGCCCAGAGCAGGAGAGAGCCAGGCGAGUAGCCAGCUGGGCCACGCAAAGGGCACCUGCAGGCAUGGUCUGUGUCCAUGCAGCUCGCCUGGGCGGCCUGGCUUGCAGCUCCUAUCCUGCCACCUGCCAUAGAGCUGCCGGCUCUCUGCCCCCUUGCCUUUAUGUUUGUUAUUGUGAUAGAACGUGUAUCUAGAAUAAAGUGCACAAGUCCAAAGUA